AGAGUUUGAUCCUGGCUCAGAACGAACGUUAGCGGCGCGCCUAACACAUGCAAGUCGCACGAGAAAGGGCUUCGGCCCCGGUAAAGUGGCGCACGGGUGAGUAACACGUGGGUAAUGUUCCCUCGGGCGGGGGAUAACCUUCCGAAAGGAGGGCUAAUACCGCAUAAGACCACGACCUUGCGAGAGGUCGGGGUAAAAGC
rnacentral:rRNA from 1 species